UGUUUACCUGUGCAGGUAAUGCUCUGUGCCCCUGCUGCGGCUACUGCUUUGUUUCAUUUAUCACUGUCCUCAUGCUUAAAGCCGGUGUGUUUUCACUGCGGAGCAGCGACUUCGUGCUCCGUUUAGUCCCCGGUCUUCUCUAGCGGUGGUAGAUGACUGCUGCCGUGUGGGUCUCUCUCUCCCUCCCUCUCCCUGUGCAGGUUUGACCUUGAAAACAGGGAACGCUCCUCAGCUGGCCGAAAUCUACAGGUGGCGAUUCAUGUGACUCCUCCACCAGCUGAUUGGGGCCAUUGCUGUUUUGUCUCUGCUGCUAAUCACAGUUUCUCUGCUGCUAAUCACAGUUUCUCUGCUGCUAAUCACAGUUUCUCUGC